UACGUAGGGGGCAAGCGUUGUCCGGAUUCAUUGGGCGUAAAGAGCGUGUAGGCGGCCAGGUAGGUCGGUUGUGAAAACUGGAGGCUCAACCUUCAGAGGUCGACCGAAACCAUCUGGCUAGAGUCCGGGAGAGGAGAGUGGAAUUCCUGGUGUAGCGGUGAAAUGCGCAGAUAUCAGGAAGAACACCCGUGGCGAAAGCGGCUCUCUGGCCCGGUACUGACGCUGAGACGCGAAAGCGUGGGGAGCGAACAGG
rnacentral:rRNA from 1 species